rnacentral:rRNA from 1 species
GAUGAACGCUGGCGGCGUGCUUAACACAUGCAAGUCGAACGAAGCACUUUGAAACAAUCCUCCGGGUGCGUUUCUUUGUGACUUAGUGGCGAACGGGUGAGUAACGCGUGAGAAACCUGCCUUUCAGUGGGGGACAACAGUUGGAGACGACUGCUAAUACCGCAUAAUGUUAUUUGGGGGCAUCCCCGAAUAACCAAAGAUUUAUUGCUGAAAGAUGGUCUCGCGUCUGAUUAGAUAGUUGGUGAGGUAACGGCUCACCAAGGCGACGAUCAGUAGCCGGUCUGAGAGGAUGAACGGCCACAUUGGGACUGAGAUACGGCCCAG